ACGAGUGUGAGAGUGGAAAGUUCACACUGUGACGGUAGCUUACCAGAAAGGGACGGCUAACUACGUGCCAGCAGCCGCGGUAAUACGUAGGUCCCGAGCGUUGUCCGGAUUUAUUGGGCGUAAAGCGAGCGCAGGCGGUUUGAUAAGUCUGAAGUUAAAGGCUGUGGCUCAACCAUAGUUCGCUUUGGAAACUGUCAAACUUGAGUGCAGAAGGGGAGAGUGGAAUUCCAUGUGUAGCGGUGAAAUGCGUAGAUAUAUGGAGGAACACCGGUGGCGAAAGCGGCCUACUGGGCUUUAACUGACGCUGAGGCUCGAAAGUGUGGGGAGCAAACAGGAUUAGAUACCCUGGUAGUCCACACUGUAAACGAUGAUUGCUAGGUGUGGGGGGUCUGACCCCUUCCGUGCCGGAGUUGUCGACGCGGCCG
rnacentral:rRNA from 1 species